AGCGUAGGCGGAUUCUUAAGUGGGAUGUGAAAUACCCGGGCUUAACCUGGGUGCUGCAUUCCAAACUGGGAAUCUAGAGUGCAGGAGGGGAGAGUGGAAUUCCUAGUGUAGCGGUGAAAUGCGUAGAGAUUAGGAAGAACACCAGUGGCGAAGGCGGCUUUCUGGACUGUAACUGACGCUGAGGCUCGAAAGCGUGGGGAGCGAACA
rnacentral:rRNA from 1 species